UGCGGAGUAGAGCAGUCUGGUAGCUCGCAAGGCUCAUAACCUUGAGGUCACGGGUUCGAAUCCCGUCUCCGCAC
rnacentral:tRNA from 1 species